rnacentral:tRNA from 1 species
UCUAAAAUGGCAGAAUAGUGCAAUAAACUUAAGAUUUAUAUAUAAUAAUUUAUUUUUUAGAA